rnacentral:rRNA from 1 species
GAUGAACGCUGGCGGCGUGCCUAAUACAUGCAAGUCGAGCGGACAGACGAGGAGCUUGCUCCUCUGACGUUAGCGGCGGACGGGUGAGUAACACGUGGAUAACCUACCUAUAAGACUGGGAUAACUUCGGGAAACCGGAGCUAAUACCGGAUAAUAUAUUGAACCGCAUGGUUCAAUAGUGAAAGACGGUUUUGCUGUCACUUAUAGAUGGAUCCGCGCCGCAUUAGCUAGUUGGUAAGGUAACGGCUUACCAAGGCAACGAUGCGUAGCCGACCUGAGAGAGUGAUCGGCCACACUGGAACUGAGACACGGUCCAGACUCCUACGGGAGGCAGCAGUAGGGAAUCUUCCGCAAUGGGCGAAAGCCUGACGGAGCAACGCCGCGUGAGUGAUGAAGGUCUUCGGAUCGUAAAACUCUGUUAUUAGGGAAGAACAAAUGUGUAAGUAACUAUGCACGUCUUGACGGUACCUAAUCAGAAAGCCACGGCUAACUACGUG